GCCAGGCAUGGUGGCCCAUGCCUAUACUUCCAGCUACUUGGGAGGCUGAGGCAGGAGGAUGGCUUGAGCCCAGGAGUUCUGGGCUGUAGUACACUAUGCCAGUUGGGUGCCCAUACUAAGUUUGACAUCAAUAUGGUGACCUCCUGGGAGUGGGCAGUGGGGGUGGGGUGACCAGGUUGCCUAAGGAUGGGUGAACUGGCUCAAGCUGAAAAUGGAGCCGGUCAAAACUCCCAUGUCAAUCACUAGUGGGAUCACACCUGUAAAUAGCCACUGUACUCCAUCCUGGGCAAGCCACAAAAGCCAAAA
rnacentral:SRP_RNA from 1 species